rnacentral:lncRNA from 1 species
GAUCAAAAAAUCAUAAUAUCUGUCCGAUUGAUGCGAUAUUCUAUCGGAUCUCUUUAAUGGUGCCUCUACAAUAGGUUUUGAAUUUGACAUCAUCAAAUCUGAUUCUGUGGGUUCACUAGACUGUGUCGAUUCUACCUGUUGAACUUCUUCAAGUUCAACCUUAGAGACAUUAAUCCCUUCUCCAAGAAAUUUUUUUUUCUAAAAAGAUUGCCCUA